UGCGAGUGUGCUGUGGUUGAAAGUCGAUGCUAGCCGCGGGCAAAACGACCCACGUAAGGCGUUUAACGACGCUGAGCAUGGCGCGGUUUAGAUGUAAGUCCUGCGUUGGAUUGAUCAAAGUGGUCAUCCCCGGCGUAGGCGGGUGUGGGGUCAAAGACCAGGUCAGGCACUCGCA
rnacentral:ncRNA from 12 species